rnacentral:tRNA from 2 species
GCGGGGGUUACCGAGAGGCCAAAGGUGGCAGACUCAAGAUCUGCUCCCGAAGGGGUUCGCAGGUUCGAAUCCUGCCCCCCGCA